AAUUUUAGGUAAAAGUCACUCCAGUUAAAAGUGGACAAGAACAAUACAAUAGUGGAGUAGUAAUCUUGUUCGAUGAGGUUAUCUUCUAACAUAUCUAUACUACUAGUUGCCUGCAGCCUGUGCGGAGCACGGGCCCAACACUACAACAAAUUUCAAAAUAUUUUUUCAAUACGUAAUCAAUGCUUAAUUAACACCAAGUAGAUGCUGCUACAUCUUUUGAGUUACAAAAGAUACAAAACGUAGCAAAACAAUAGAUGCAGCAAUAUACAACAAUUUCAUAUUGACGGUUCGGCAAUCCGUUGUUAUUCCUUCAAGAAUGUCCAGGCAGACAGCUACAGUGUUCCAAAUGGCUUAUGUUUCUUUCUCAUCAUCCUUCCUAGUGGUGAAAUCAGAAAUUUCCUCAAGGGUGUUUAAAUUUGAAAUAAGUAAAAAAAAAAAUCCCGAUAAAGAGUGUUCAAUAUAUGUAAUAUACCUCUAAAACAUGAUAUUUUACCUAUAUACGUAAUGUAAUUUCACGACAAAGGGUAGACAGUUGACCACCCUUACCAAUGUGUAGCUUCGCCACUGAAUUCCUUCCCAGCCAGCUGCUGGUAGCACCUCUUGGGUUGGAUAGUUUGAUUUGAGUCUAGCUAAGGUAUUUAGCAAAGAGUACUGGGAAACUGUUAAGGUAACAAAACUUUUCUAAUCAUUGCACUUGAGAAAUUGGUGGAAGUCCAUAUUCGACCAUCUCAAAUCAUUUUCCUUUUGAACUCUCAAAUUACCUGCAACUACAAAUGCUUUAGGAUGAUUAGAGUAAGAAGAUAAACAACUAAAAGUAUGAAGCACUGAAUAGAAGACCCAAAAAGGAGAGUAAAAGUGUGUGUGUGUGUGUCACAAGUAACAUCUAAAGUUUCUUUCAGUCAUUGCCUUGGAAUGAUCUAUUCAACCUUCGCCGAUGAAGCUAUCCUGAUAUGGACCCCCUUGUAACAUAAACAUAUAAUUGAGAAAUUUAAUGUGCUACCAUCUCAUUCUAUUAGCAUGGAAGUAUCAAGCAUCAUAUACCAUCUUUCUCCAAUUAUCCUUCUUACUUUACAGGAAAGGCAACAUUUUCCUUGGAGUUACUUAGCCAGUUAGAUAUUUAUUAUAUGAGCUUCCAGAAGACUCAUAGCAAUCUAGGAAUUCAUAUGUUUAAAAUCAAUUAUCUAUGCCUCUUUUAUUAAAAGGUUCUCAGUUUAAUCAUCUAAUGUAUGGGGAAAUGUUCUUUAGAGAAAGACAGAUUGCUCAGCGUUAUAGUCUAGCGUAAAAAUCCUUCUGUUAGUGUGUAAAAAUAUUAUUGUCGGUUGAUAAGAAAUUGGAGCUUUGUUCUAUGUACCUUUUUGUGGAGCAUUUUAUUGCUAAUUGGUACUUUCCCCAUGACUGUUGCUUACAUCAGACUACCACAUUAAAAAAAUCAUAUACCAGUGUAAUCAUAAACUAUAUAUUGUUUUAAUUGAAAUAACUCACUACUCUAUACAAUCACGACCUAUCUCUUUCUAUAUUUCUACGGAUUAGCGUGUAUGAAAUAUAGUAUUAUGAUACAAUGAAAGAAUGAUAUAGACUAACUUGUGCUGCAACUUCAAUUGCUUUUAACUAUUUGCCUAAUUUAAAGCAAGUACCAUAACCAUGUUAGGAUUACCUGGUUCGAGUGCAAGUGAUGAAAGAAUAAAGCAUGCUAAAACUAAUAUGUACCAGUAAUCAGUAAAAGCAUAAUGACUUAUGCUUACUUGAUAAAGAAAAGGGCAGAAUCAUUUAACAUAAGCAAAGGGAAAUGAGAAAUAUUUUCCUUUCAUUGUUAGCCAAGCUUCAAAUUGUGUCUUACCAAGUUCAAUUAAUCUUAAACAACUGAUAACACACAAAUUUAUGUUCCUUCAAAAGCUAAUUAAGAUUGCAGGUGAGCAGUACUUGAUUAAUAAAAGGACAAUGAAGAAUAGAUAGCUACCAAAGAUGGAAAUUUUAUGAAAAGUCUUCUCUAUAUUACUAAUUAUAAUAAAUGAUUUGUUGUUUGUUGCUUGAUCUUCACCAAGAAAUAGCACUUUGAUGUAAAAAUAGCAAAUAUGAAGCAAAUUCAUCUUAAUUAAAUUUGAACUCACUCAAAAACCACAUCAGAUAGUUGAGAUAAAAAUGGACAGUGCAAAAAAAAGGCAAAGGUAACAUCUAUUGCAUAAGGUGUAACCUCUUCUCUGCAGGUUUGCCCAUACCAGACAAUCAUUAUGCAGUGUUAUCCAUACAAAAUCAAAUGACAUUGAAGGAAACCUUACAUUUCCAUUUAAGUUUCCGUUGUUGAUUGUGGAGAUGGUUCUUGAGGUGAGAAGCCUAUAACAACAGUUGUCGUUUUUAUCUGUCAUGUUCUGUUGGUAGGCGGAAUUUAGUACAGUCUGAAAUAUUUCAUCAACAAAAUAUGAAUCAUUAAUAAGUCAAAGUUUCAGAAGACUGCUAAAAAAGGGCAGCCUAACUAUAAUACAAAUAUAGAUCUAUAGUGCAUAGUGCUAUGUAUUGUCAAUGUAACACACAUGUAAAAUACCGUCAAAGGUUCUUGUUGAUAUACAAAUGUCGAUGAUAAAGUAGUCUUUCUUAAGGGGAAAAAAAACAUAGUCAGAUAGUUCAUAAUUCUGUAUUUCUGUUCACAACCAGAGAAAGAGAUAUACAUAUACAUGAAAAAAGUUAGUAAGUUAGUGAGAAUCCAGCUAGUAAUAGAUGAAUAGCAAGACUAAAGAUCCAAGUGACUUUUCCCCAUUUUAAUUUUUGUUUUAAAAAGGAGGGUCAUGGGCUUGCUUAAAACAUUAUAAAGCAACUCAUAAAAAAUGAUCCCUAGGCAAAAUAUCCACACAUUGUCCUUUCCUGUUGGUACAGGAGCAAGUGAGAAAGUAGAGUAUAUGUAAUGACAUGCACCUUAAUUUCAAUAGAAAAUUCAUAAUCUAACAACAGAAUUUUGCAAGGAUUUCACAUAAACACACCAUGAAAUUUAGUAAUUGUAAUAUAAUAAUAAAAUAAAUUAUUUUAUCCCAUAUAAUUCAAGUACCAAUUAUUGUUUUAAAGAGGAUCAUCCAAACUUAUUGCAAAGAGUAUUUACUUCAAACUUGGCAACUGCUUGUGAAAGGGAGUAUACACCUUUCUAUCAUUAUAAAUGACACCUUAAGUCCUCAAACAUUGGAGAGUGAUUCACAAGUUCAGAGAAAGCAACAACACCCUUAUCUCCUAACAUGUUAUUGUAAAAAUGAAGGACCUGCAAUUCGCAAGUUGAGGGAAUCAGUUGGCACUUCGUACGCUACAUGUGCUAUAACCAAACCGAAAAAUAUACCUAUUUUUAGUUUUGUACGGAUAUUUCACCCUAUUUAUCUUACAGUAGGCCUUUCGUUUUCUUUUAGAAUUUUCUUAAGGACUUAUUUGGCCUAAGUAUCAGUGUAGAUCAUGUAUAAAUAUUGACCAUGUAAAACCCAUAGUAAUUUAAAGAAAACUUUAUAAAAAAUUACAAGGAAAAAUGUGAACAAAGUAAAAAUAAAGGAGGAAGAACAGUAGAAGAAAGAGGAUAAGGAACUAAACAGACAACAUCUAUAAGAUAUUAGAUCUAUGCAAAUCAGUGACAAAUUAGAACCUUGCAUGUACAGAAAGGGAUAGAGAAAUAAAAGAAAAAAAUAUUCAUAAGCACGCAAGAAGAAGAUAUGAACUAGACAUGACGAAAGUAAAACCAAAUUGAACCUAAUUUAAACCAAAAGAAAAUCAGAAGAAGCAUUUUUGUAAGGUUAUUAUCCUGAAACCUUACACUACUAUAAAUAUUGAAAUACAAUUAACCAAAACCAUGAUAAUCAUCGUGAAAAAUCGAAGUAACCCAAAAGGAAUGUUAAUAGUUUUCUUAGGAAGUAAAAAGUUCAUAUGUUACCUCUUUAUAUGAGCCACCCACAUAUCACUAUGAAGCAGAUUCUUUGCAGCCUUCACCUAUUUUUUCUUGCACUCCAGAAAACCCUAUGUGCCUUUCAGUUGUUUGGUCAAAUUGAAUUCAUAAAAUACAAUUUCAAAUCUUACAUUAAAAUCUCAAAUUAUCAUUAAAAUAAAAAAAAUUACUUACACGCACCAGCCAAUAAUAAACAUAGAAAAUGAACCAUGGACUGGAGCUUGCAAUUUUCCAAGAACCAAAAGGAAAAAAACAUCAAAACUAAGAAUAGGGAAAAUCCAGUGAAGAAGAAGAAAGCAUGAAGAAGUAGGAAAGCAGGAAAAAGAGUAAAAAUAGAAGUGCUUAAAGUGACAGCAAAAAGAUGUAGGAAGAAUGGAAGCGAAAGAUAGGUGUCCCCACCAAAACAAUAAAGACCAACUACGUGUCAAGGAAAUUGAAUAGAAUGAAAGGGCUAAAUCCAAGACCAAAAUACAAAAUUGCCC
rnacentral:lncRNA from 1 species